rnacentral:lncRNA from 1 species
GAAAAUGAUCAUGGAGUCAUCAUUUUCUGAAGGAAUCACUUGAUGCUUCCCUACUCACUGCUUCAUGCACCCCACUCAGCCUUCUCAGCAGACACCAGGGAGGCAGCCACACAGGCUACCGGUCGGUAUGCACGUUUCAGAGUGAAGCAAGCCGGAGGAGAUCUGCUGCUCACUAUCUGUACGGCUCUGGGCAGCCUCUGCCACCCACCCAUAGAGAGACGUCGAGAUGAAUACCAAGAUAACAUCCACUGUGCCGAAAGCCUCUAGCUUUCCAAAAACUGAAAUCCUUCGCCAGUAAAUCACAACUGUUUUACCAUAUGCCUCUUUGUUCUGCCAAGCAUUACCAGCCUGUUCUACUUUAAAGCAAAUUUCAUUUUAUUAUAGCUCAGAGCAAUGCUCAUUAAAAAGUAC